ACAAUCAGCGGCCGUGGUCUCCGCAGAUCACUCCCAGUGCCUUGCUCAGGCAGGCGUCCAAGCCGGUGACAUCGCAUCAGCUCCGGGCAGGUGUCAGCGAGAGCAGAAAACCACUUGGGAAGGUGCUCUCGCAGAUGGGAGGUCAGUGAACCACUGUCGUCUCUGGUCCCAGGACACGUCAGUGGUGUGGUCUGGUUACCCAGUGUCCUCUCUCAGGGCGGAGAAUCAGCUGCCAGGAAUGUGAUGCAACACAGAUCACAGAUUGAGGCCUGGGAGAAAAAUACUGAAACAGAGCCAGGGUCAUUCAUGGCGGAGGAGUCUCAGGACAGUCACACUGCUUUGAUAUGGUGAAUGGGGAAAACGGGUUUUUACGUAAGCCUGCAUCAUCUUGGCAUGUUACAUGAUGGUUCACCGUGUGUGUGUGUGUGUGUGUGUGUGUGUGUUUGUUUGUUUCUGUGUUUUUUUUCGAAUGAGUGUAUAUGUUUGCAAGCUUGUGAUUGUACACUUGUGUGUGGGAAACCCAGGAAAUCCAGUCUCCCAUGCGCCAGCAUCUAUUGUGUUUAGUUUCCUCCUCUGAG